rnacentral:rRNA from 1 species
AACAACAGGGAUUGCCCUAGUAACGGCGAGUGAAGCGGCAAAAGCUCAAAUUUGAAAUCUGGCACCUUUGGUGUCCGAAUUGUAAUUUGGAGAGGCAACUUCGGGUAGGACCCAGUCUAUGUUCCUUGGAACAGGACGUCAUAGAGGGUGAGAAUCCCGUUCAUGACUGGAUGUUCCUACUAGUACGUAGUGCCUUCUACGAGUCGAGUUGUUUGGGAAUGCAGCUCAAAAUGGGUGGUAAAUUUCAUCUAAAGCUAAAUAUUGGCGAGAGACCGAUAGCGCACAAGUAGAGUGAUCGAAAGAUGAAAAGCACUUUGAAAAUAGAGUCAAAAAGUACGUGAAAUUGUUGAAAGGGAAGCGCUUGAGACCAGACUCAGCCUUUGGUAAACAAGUGUCCUUCUGGGCAUUGCACUUGCCUCGGGUUGGGCCAGUAUCAGUUAGGAUGGUAGGAGAAAGGCCAGGGGAAUGUGACUCCAUUUUGGAGUGUUAUAGAUCCUGGUGUCAUGCUACCUGUCCUGACUGUGGACCGCGCAUUAGCUAGGAUACUGGCGUAAUGGUCUUCAGCGACCCGUCUUGAAACACGGACCAAGGAGUCUAACAUCUAUGCGAGUGUUUGGGCUACACACCCUCACGCGUAAUGAAAGUAAACGGAGGUGGGAAUUCUGCAAGGAAUGCACCAUCGACCGAUCCUGAUGUCUUCGGAUGGAUUUGAGUAGGAGCAUAGCUGUUGGGACCCGAAAGAUGGUGAACUAUGCCUGAAUAGGGUGAAGCCAGAGGAAACUCUGGUGGAGGCUCGCAGCGGUUCUGACGUGCAAAUCGAUCGUCAAAUUUGGGUAUAGGGGCGAAAGACUAAUCGAACCAUCUAGUAGCUGGU